CACGUAUCGAAUCAAGAUGGCGGUUGGCUACGUGACGCAGAAAGCUGAACGUGAAGAUCCCCAGAACCAAUGACUAAAUUUACAUAGUCAUUGCCCAGAACUUUUUGUUUGUGUUGACCUUUAUUUUGCACUCGUGAUGGCAGCCUGACCCUGUAGAGGGCCUGUGGACAUACACCAAGACAGCCUGGAGAUGGAGGUCUGGAGGCAUGGAUGCCAGGACUGGUCUCUACAUGAGAGGAUAUACAAGAUAGACAGAUUGGUUGCACUUGUGGAUAAAAAGAUUGAAGAUAGAUGUGAUGGAUACUAAUAGGUGAGGACAGCAUAACGCACCAGAUUGCCAGGUCCCCGCACCUCUCUCAGCCUCUUCAGCAUCCUUAGCAUAGUGAGCAAAGACUUCCCAGCGGUGUCCAUCUUUAGCGAGCUCCACCGCUUUAUGUCACUAUCUACCACAAAAUGCAAUCCUGUAAUAAAGGAAUACUCAGUAAGCAAAACAUGUUGUCAUCAGUGGCAAUAACCUUUUCCUAACCUAUCUGCUAAUGCUGUUACCUAUCUUCUCCAGCAUCUGGAGGAUGUGGUACAGAGGAGUGUGGGGCCCCCUGACUGAUCAGCAAGCCAGAUGAUGUGGCAGGUGCUGUCCAAUAUGUUGACAUUCCGCACAUCCUUAGUUAAGCAUGCUUUUUUAAGAGAUUAGAGUUAUCCAUCAAGAGUCCCUAUGACAAGUGGUACCUGUCACUGGCAUGAUUGAGAAGUGUAACAGCCAGUGGUGUUCACUGGUAGUCCAGGUGGGAAAGACAGACUAAACCAAGGUUCUUUGUUGAUUGCUGUCCCCCUUAAUGGUUUGACAGUGGCAGAGAAGCUGAAGGCUGCCUUUCCUUUGAUCACCGGAUCUGACAGGAGCUUCAGCUGGUC